GAGUUGGCAAGCUAAUUAAGAGGAGAGAGAUAAACAGCGUUUCAUGGUGAUGAAACGGGAUCGGCUCGGUUACCAAGUUGAUGACACCCGAUUGAAACGCGCACUGAGACCUUCAUCGUUUCAUCGCCGGAUCUGCUGCUCCCCGCUGCUUGCGCUUGCGCAGCUUCCACCCUCCCACGCUCCUGCGCGCCAAAUCUCCGAUCAAUCCGCACCAAACCUUGCGGCCUCUGCUCCAAAUCGCCCAUCUCCACGCCGGCCAACACCACUGCGUCGACGGCCACCACCUCGCCUCCGCCGGGCACGACGUCCUCGCUGGCUACAGCGAAGUUGAACUUGCCCAGCUCCUCCGCGUCGGAUGAGGCACUUUCGUCGCCGGGCACCGCGAACUCCAUGUCGAAAAAGGACGCAUCUUCCACAAUGUUCCCGCCGCCGCAAGCUCAGCCACCUCCGUCGCCGGCGUCUUCGCAUGCCAACGGCUACGGUCGUGGCAGCCACGGGCACGCGCUGGCCGCCGGCCACCACGCCGUGGCGCAGGUACUCGAGGAAGCUGAAGAACUCCAUGGCACGCGCAGAUCCCCCUUCCUCGCUUCAAGUGUUCGCCGAUGGGCCAAAAUCAGCUUGUGGCUGGCUCCGCCACUGACCCAGUGAGUUUCGGGUUGCAAGUCAAGAAUUGACAGGAGUUGAGUUCAAUUGGAAGCCAAGAAUGUGUGUUGGUUUUGUUGGAUUUCAUGGUUUAAUUUAUUAUGUCUUGUAUAUGAGCAUGAUUAGAUCAUUGCAUCUUAACAUAAUACAGAGUUUCAUUGCAUCUUA